UGGCGGCCGUAGCGCGGUGGUCCCACCUGACCCCAUGCCGAACUCAGAAGUGAAACGCCGUAGCG
rnacentral:rRNA from 1 species